rnacentral:lncRNA from 1 species
GGCAACAUCCAGGUGUUCUUUAUGCCUCUCUUUUCUUUUUUGCUACUUCUCUCUUUUUCUUUUAAGAGACUGGAGAGCCAUGGAAUUCGAUGCGCGGAAUUUCUAUGUUCUCUUCGCCUCUCUUUUUGGUCGUCAUUUCACCAAACCUUUGUGGUACACCCUACUAUGUGCGGUGUUGUGCGCCAGGCACGGGAGGAGACCCCGCCCUUUCCCAUUCAGCAGCAGAAGGGGGCGGCGACCUGGGAGACCUCCAGGGGGCUGAGGACUGAGGUGCUCCACGGCUCGGGGCCCCGCUCGUUCCCCGUGCGCGCGCGCUUACCCCCGGCCGCGCCGAGCUGCGCCGGCCGAGCGGGCCCGCCGACGCUCCCGCGGGCCUGGAGCCCCCCUGCCGGGCGUCCAGGCGCCGCCGUCUGCGUGGCGGACAGGAGAGGCUGUGGGCCGCCGCUCUCGACGGAGAGCCCGGAGGAGGACGCGUCCCGGGAACAGCCAGCGUUCGGCUGCCUGCCAGCAUGCAUUCCUUGUUGAGGAUGCUUCCAUUUGAUGGCUUCCUGCCAUAUGUUUGAUAUCAAGUUAUGCCUUCUCCUUGAAGAAAGUGCUUUACGAGCGCUGGUAUCCUAUGAGUGUGGCUUCCCUAAAACCCUGGCUCUGGGAGACAAUGAAAAUUUACCUACUCAAGAG